rnacentral:rRNA from 1 species
UGGGGAAUUUUGGACAAUGGGCGCAAGCCUGAUCCAGCCAUGCCGCGUGCGGGAAGAAGGCCUUCGGGUUGUAAACCGCUUUUGUCAGGGAAGAAAUCUUCUGAGUUAAUACCUCGGGAGGAUGACGGUACCUGAAGAAUAAGCACCGGCUAACUACGUGCCAGCAGCCGCGGUAAUACGUAGGGUGCAAGCGUUAAUCGGAAUUACUGGGCGUAAAGCGUGCGCAGGCGGUUUUGUAAGACAGAGGUGAAAUCCCCGGGCUCAACCUGGGAACUGCCUUUGUCGACUGCAAGGCUUGAGUGCGGCAGAGGGGGAUGGAAUUCCGCGUGUAGCAGUGAAAUGCGUAGAUAUGCGGAGGAACACCGAUGGCGAAGGCAAUCCCCUGGGCCUGCACUGACGCUCAUGCACGAAAGCGUGGGGAGCAAACAGGAUUAGAUACCCUGGUAGUCCACGCCCUAAACGAUGUCAACUGGUUGUUGGGAAGGUUCCUUCUCAGUAACGUAGCUAACGCGUGAA